CCCGCUGAACUUAAGCAUAUCAAUAAGCGGAGGAAAAGAAACCAACAGGGAUUGCCUCAGUAACGGCGAGUGAAGCGGCAACAGCUCAAAUUUGAAAUCUGGCCUCUCGGGGUCCGAGUUGUAAUUUGUAGAGGAUGUUUCGGGUACCGCUCCGGUUUAAAUUUCUUGGAACAGAAUGUCAGAGAGGGUGAGAAUCCCGUCUUGGACCGGUGGUAGGGCCUAUGUGAAACUCCUUCGACGAGUCGAGUUGUUUGGGAAUGCAGCUCAAAAUGGGUGGUAAAUUCCAUCUAAAGCUAAAUAUUGGCGAGAGACCGAUAGCGAACAAGUACCGUGAGGGAAAGAUGAAAAGCACUUUGGAAAGAGAGUUAAACAGUACGUGUAAUUGUUGAAAGGGAAACGUUUGAAGUCAGUCGCGUCGGCCGAGACUCAGCCUUGCUUCCGCUCGGUGCACUUCUCGGUUGACGGGUCAGCAUCAAUUUCGACCGCCGGAUAAAGGUUGAGGGAACGUGACAUCUUUCGAGGUGUGUUAUAGCCCUCGAUUCGCAUACGGCGAUUGGGAUUGAGGAACUCAGCGCGCCUUUAUGGUCGGGGUAGCAACCCACGUAACGCGCUCAGGAUGCUGGCAUAAUGGCUUUAAGCGACCCGUCUUGAAACACGG
rnacentral:rRNA from 1 species